rnacentral:rRNA from 1 species
AUACGGAGGGUGCAAGCGUUACUCGGAAUCACUGGGCGUAAAGCGCGCGCAGGCGGCUUGAUAAGUUGGAUGUGAAAGCCUACGGCUCAACCGUAGAACUGCAUCCAAAACUGUCAAGCUAGAGUCUGGGAGGGGAAGAUGGAAUUAGUUGUGUAGGGGUAAAAUCCGUAGAGAUAACUAGGAAUACCAAAAGCGAAGGCGAUCUUCUGGAACAGUACUGACGCUGAGGCGCGAAAGCGUGGGGAGCAAACAGGAUUAGAAACCCCCAGUAGUCC